rnacentral:rRNA from 1 species
CCUACGGGAGGCAGCAGCAGGGAAUUUUGCGCAAUGGGCGAAAGCCUGACGCAGCGACGCCGCGUGGGUGAUGAAGGCCUUCGGGUCGUAAAACCCUGUCGGGUGGAACGAAUCCCCCGCGGGAGAAUACCUCGCGGGGUUGACGGUACCACCGAAGGAAGCCCCGGCUAACUACGUGUCAGCAGUCGCGGUAAUACGUAGGGGGCGAGCGUUGUUCGGAUUUACUGGGCGUAAAGAGCGCGUAGGUGGUUGGAUAAGUCGGAGGUAAAAGCCCUCGGAUCAACCGAGGAUCCGCGUCCGAUACUGGCGAACUUGAGUGCAGGAGAGGAGAGCGGAAUUCCCAGUGUAGCGGUGAAAUGCGUAGAUAUUGGGAGGAACACCGGUGGCGAAGGCGGCUCUCUGGACUGCCACUGACACUGAGGCGCGAAAGCAGGGGGAGCAAACGGGAUUAGAUCCCCUGGUAGU